GGCCUCGUGGUGUAGUGGUAACAUGUUCUCUACUAAUAUUUCGGAGAAAUAUUGCGCUGAGGAAGUCCCUUGUUCGAAUCAGAGGUCAUGCCC